UACGUAGGCAGCAAGCGUUGUUCGGAAUUACUGGGCGUAAAGAGUGUGUAGGCGGUGCUCUAAGUUCGGUGUGAAAUCUCCUGGCUCAACUGGGAGGGUGCGCCGGAAACUGGGGUGCUGGAGCGCGGGAGAGGAAAGCGGAAUUCCUGGUGUAGCGGUGAAAUGACGUAGAGAUCCGGAGGAACACCUGUGGCGAAGGCGGCCCCCUGGGCCGCACCUGGACGCUG
rnacentral:rRNA from 1 species